GCAGGGUGAGGUAGUAGGUUGUAUAGUUGAGAGUGACACCACAGGAGAUAACUGUACAGCCUCCUAGCUUUCCCUGA
rfam:Tetraodon nigroviridis, WGS project CAAE01000000 data, contig: CNS0BYTZ, chromosome: 7